GACGAAUGCUGGCGGCGUGCCUAAUACAUGCAAGUCGAACGCAGUGGGGACGGGUGAGUAACACGUGGGUAACCGCCCAUCAGAGGGGAUAACACUUGGCAACAGGUGCUAACCCGCUACUGAUGGAUGGACCCGCUGUGCAUUAGCUAGUUGGUGGGGUAGCGGCUCACCAAGGCCACGAGGCAUAGCUGACCUGAGAGGGUGAUCGGCCACACUGGGACUGAGACACGGCCCAGACUCCUACGGGAGGCAGCAGUAGGGAAUAUUCGGCAAUGGACGAAAGUCUGACCGAGCAACGCCGCGUGAGUGAAGAAGGGGUUCGGAUCGUAAAACUCUGUUGUUAGAGAAGCGGUAUCUAAACAGAAAGCCACGGCUAACUCCGUGCCAGCAGCCGCGGUAAUAC
rnacentral:rRNA from 1 species